rnacentral:rRNA from 1 species
CUACGGGGGGCUCCAGUGAGGAAUAUUGCACAAUGGGGGGAACCCUGAUGCAGCAACGCCGCGUGGAGGAUGACGCAUUUCGGUGUGUAAACUCCUUUUAUAUGUCAAGAAAAUGACGGUAGCAUAUGAAUAAGCACCGGCUAACUCCGUGCCAGCAGCCGCGGUAAUACGGAGGGUGCAAGCGUUACUCGGAAUCACUGGGCGUAAAGGACGCGUAGGCGGGUUGGAAAGUCAGGUGUGAAAUCCUACAGCUUAACUGUAGAACUGCACUGGAAACUUCUAAUCUAGAGUGUGGGAGGGGGAGAUGGAAUUCGUGGUGUAGGGGUAAGAUCCGUAGAUAUCACUAGGAAUACCUAAAGCGAAGGCGAUCUCCUGGAACAUUACUGACGCUAAGGCGUGAAAGCGUGGGGAGCAAACAGGAUUAGAUACCCGCGUAGUC